GACGAACGCUGGCGGCGUGCUUAACACAUGCAAGUCGAACGGAAAGGCCCUGCUUUUGUGGGGUGCUCGAGUGGCGAACGGGUGAGUAACACGUGAGUAACCUGCCCUUGACUUUGGGAUAACUUCAGGAAACUGGGGCUAAUACCGGAUAGGAGCUCCUGCUGCAUGGUGGGGGUUGGAAAGUUUCGGCGGUUGGGGAUGGACUCGCGGCUUAUCAGCUUGUUGGUGGGGUAGUGGCUUACCAAGGCUUUGACGGGUAGCCGGCCUGAGAGGGUGACCGGCAACAGUGGGACUAAGAUACGCCCCGGAUGCCCACGGGGGCAAGAGGUGGGAAUUUUGGAACACGGGGGGGAAGCCUGAUGCAGCAACGCCGGGUGAGGGAUGACGGCCUUCGGUUUUAAAACGGCUUUCGCCGGUAACGAAGGGUGAGGGAGGUUAAGGUGUAAAGAAGCACCGGCUAACUACGAG
rnacentral:rRNA from 1 species